CCUAGGGUGAGCAGCAGUGGGGAAUAUUGGACAAUGGGCGAAAGCCUGAUCCAGCCAUGCCGCGUGUGUGAAGAAGGCCUUCGGGUUGUAAAGCACUUUCAGUGGGGAAGAAAGCCUUGUGUCUAAUACCCUCGAGGAAGGACAUCACCCACAGAAGAAGCACCGGCUAACUCCGUGCCAGCAGCCGCGGUAAUACGGAGGGUGCGAGCGUUAAUCGGAAUUACUGGGCGUAAAGCGCGCGUAGGCGGUCUGAUAAGCCGGUUGUGAAAGCCCCGGGCUCAACCUGGGAACGGCAUCCGGAACUGUCAGGCUAGAGUGCAGGAGAGGAAGGUAGAAUUCCCGGUGUAGCGGUGAAAUGCGUAGAGAUCGGGAGGAAUACCAGUGGCGAAGGCGGCCUUCUGGACUGACACUGACGCUGAGGUGCGAAAGCGUGGGUAGCAAACAGGAUUAGAUACCCAGUAGUC
rnacentral:rRNA from 1 species